rnacentral:lncRNA from 10 species
CACUCCCGAGGGGACGGUCUCCCGCCCGCCCUCACACACAGCUAGCUCUUCAGGCCAGGCCCCCAGGGUUUCGUCCACCUCUCACCUUUGACGACGCGAAUGAAGAAUGAGGAGGUGCUGCGAUCGAACGACUGCGAGGAAACACACCCGCUCUCAUGGCAUUCCCAGUAAACUGAGAAGACGUGAUUAAACCUCAGGAUCUCCUACUAAUAGAGAAAUGUAUAACGAUUUAGCUACCAGAUCUGAAUACUGAAGGGUUGGUAGGGGACCAGAGAAUAGAGGAAGCAUUGUAGGUUCUAGAGUGGAGAAGGGACCAUCCAAAAUGGAGUUUGAAAGAGAAUUCUGGCCUUUGUGUUUAGAGUCUGGAAUUGUCAAGAGUCUGAAAGCACAGAAUAAGACUGCAGCUAGAGCAAUUUAGGCGCCAUAGUUUGUCAAAACAGGUAAGGGGAAUAAAGGGGAUGACACCAAGAGAUGUGCAAAGAAUCUGAAGAAUUCACCUGAAAAGGAUACAACCUCCUCCUGGAAGGCAGAGGAGUAAAUAGGGAAUUGGAAAUUAAUUCCUUAUUUCUGCACAUGCACAGAAUCUGGGCCCAGGUGACUUAUGGAACCUUUAUAGAGACCACGGUGACUGACACUCAUGGGAAAGGGGGUAGAGGGGCAAGAACUGACUGUUCAUCAAAAAUUAUUAGAUGAGUGUGUCCACGACACCAGGAGAUAUGUUGAAUCAUGGACAGGGACCAGCAUAUCCACUAAGCUCUAUAUAUCUUGAUGGUGCAGGAUCCAAGUGGGAUGGAACAACCAAUUCCUGCCCAUCCUCCUGCUCAAUAAUACAUGUGCUCAGAAUCUGUUCAUAAUGCAUGGUGAGACGGGAUCUCACUGUGUUGCCCAGGCUGGUCUCGAACUGCUGGACUCAAGUCAUCCUCCCAUCUUGGCCUCCCAAAGUGCUGGAAUUACAGUGGACAACCUUCAAUGCACUGGUACUUUGUACCCUGACCUCUACUGUGAUGAACACUCAACUUGGGCAAGGAAGUGAAAUUCUCCAAAGGCCCAGCACCUUAGCACCUGAGGCUGCUACCUGAGAAGUACGCACUGUUCUGGCUUCAUGGAGACCAUGCUCCAUUUCUGCUGUUGAAGUCUUUGAGAGACCAGGAUCAUGGGCUGAGUGCAACCUCCUCCCCAUGCCAUCUGCAGAGCCUGAAGAGGAAAACACAAAUACAAGUUGAGGCCAUCUCUUCCCCUAGGGCCUAACCUCUAAGCCUAGCAGCACAAACUCAGGAGCUGUUGUUUCAUUUAAUAAUAAAUAUGCAUCCUUGAAUUCAA